rnacentral:rRNA from 1 species
UGGGGAAUUUUGGACAAUGGGCGAAAGCCUGAUCCAGCAAUGCCGCGUGUGUGAAGAAGGCCUUCGGGUUGUAAAGCACUUUUGUCCGGAAAGAAAUCCUUGGCUCUAAUACAGUCGGGGGAUGACGGUACCGGAAGAAUAAGCACCGGCUAACUACGUGCCAGCAGCCGCGGUAAUACGUAGGGUGCAAGCGUUAAUCGGAAUUACUGGGCGUAAAGCGUGCGCAGGCGGUUUGCUAAGACCGAUGUGAAAUCCCCGGGCUCAACCUGGGAACUGCAUUGGUGACUGGCAGGCUAGAGUAUGGCAGAGGGGGGUAGAAUUCCACGUGUAGCAGUGAAAUGCGUAGAGAUGUGGAGGAAUACCGAUGACGAAGGCAGCCCCCUGGGCCAAUACUGACGCUCAUGCACGAAAGCGUGGGGAGCAAACAGGAUUAGAUACCCCUGGUAGUCCACGCCCUAAACGAUGUCAACUAGUUGUUGGGAUUCAUUUCCUUAGUAACGUAGCUAACGCGUGAAGUUGACCGCCUGGGGAGUACGGUCGCAAGAUUAAAACUUAAAUGAAUUGACGGGGUCAUAGCUGUUUCCU